rnacentral:rRNA from 1 species
CCUACGGGCGGCAGCAGUGGGGAAUAUUGGACAAUGGGGGGAACCCUGAUCCAGCGACGCCGCGUGAGUGAAGAAGUAUUUCGGUAUGUAAAGCUCUAUCAGCAGGGAAGAAAGAAAUGACGGUACCUGACUAAGAAGCCCCGGCUAACUACGUGCCAGCAGCCGCGGUAAUACGUAGGGGGCAAGCGUUAUUCGGAUUUACUGGGUGUAAAGGGGGCGUAGACGGCGAUGCAAGUCUGAAGUGAAAGGCGGGGGCCCAACCCCCGGACUGCUUUGGAAACUGUAUGGCUGGAGUGCAGGAGAGGUAAGUGGAAUUCCUAGUGUAGCGGUGAAAUGCGUAGAUAUUAGGAGGAACACCAGUGGCGAAGGCGGCUUACUGGACUGUAACUGACGUUGAGGCUCGAAAGCGUGGGGAGCAAACAGGAUUAGAUACCCUUGUAGUC